rnacentral:rRNA from 1 species
CCUACGGGAGGCAGCAGUGAGGAAUAUUGGUCAAUGGACGCAAGUCUGAACCAGCCAUGCCGCGUGCAGGAAGACGGUUCUAUGAGUUGUAAACUGCUUUUGUACGAGGGUAAACGCAGAUACGCGUAUCUGUCUGAAAGUACCGUCCGAAAAAGGAUCGGCUAACUCCGUGCCAGCAGCCGCGGGAAUACGGAGGAUUCAAGCGUUAUCCGGAUUUAUUGGGUUUAAAGGGUGCGUAGGCGGUCGGAUAAGUUAGAGGUGAAAUCCCGGGGCUCAACUUCGGAAUUGCCUUUGAUACUGUUCGGCUGGAGAGUAGUUGCGGUAGGCGGAAUGUAUGGUGUAGCGGUGAAAUGCUUAGAUAUCAUGCAGAACACCGAUUGCGAAGGCAGCUUACCAGGCUACUUCUGACGUUGAGGCACGAAAGCGUGGGGAGCAAACAGGAUUAGAUACCCGGGUAGUC